UAAGCGCUUCCGGUGUAGGCUUUACCAUUGUGAACCAAAUCAUUUUAUAUCAACAAAGGCUUCAAGUGAAUAAUAGUACAGAAAUCUGUCUCAAUAAGUGUUCUUGCUAGAUAUGAAAGGAUCAAAUCUUGAAAGAAUACUGGACAGAUAAAGUCAACUCCUAAGUUACGUUCCUGUUUCAGAUUUUCUCUAUAUCUAAAAUUGUUUGCGGCGACAGCGUUUCUUGAAGUCAAUUGGAUCCUAGAAGUCAUCGCCGUGUUUGCUCCUGACAUCGCAGGCUGGCUGCAUAUCUCAGACAUUUACAAUGUUCUCGUCCCUCUAAUCAUUUUGAUCCACCUUCUGUGCCAGAAACAGACUUGGAGGAUUAUUAGAAAAAGAUAUAGAGAAAUGAAGGGAUUAUCGAACACAGAAACGCCUACAAGCGGAACACAAACUCAAAGCCUGGAUGAGACUGAUAGUCAAGUCAAACAAGUAUAGAGAAUGCAUAAUUUUGAAAUGGCCUCUAAUAUACCAAGAAUAGAACAAGAACAUUAAAUGAUUCUUAAUAUCUUUUGAAUAGACGGUAGAAUAAAAGGUGCUUUUCAAAAGCGGAAUGAUUAAAUUAUUCUGGAAUUGAAAUCUGAUUUCAUUAAUGUCAGUAAUUUUGUGAACGAGAACCUAGAUGUAGGAUUACUAAUUAUAAAUUUAUAGGAAUGUCAUUCCCUUUCGACAAGUGACGUGACUUUGAUAAAGUGCCGUCACCUAAGUAGAGAAAUGUAGCUAGGAGGCGAGGAUACGGAUUGUGGAUAUUAAAAAGUAGACGGAAUCGCCAUUGUAUUAGUUUACACGAACACAAGUUUUUUUACAAAAUUCUUACAAAUGACGUCUUCUUCGAGACCGGUCUUUCGUCAGCUGGCAUAAGAAUGUUUAGUACAAUAAGGAAAACUUUUACCGUAGCAACUUUGAAGACUAAUCUAAAUUAAAAGAAUGGUUACCUUCAGGACUUUUGCGGAAA